GAUGAACGCUGGCGGCGUGCUUAACACAUGCGAGUCGAACGAAGCACUUUGACUUCUUCGGAUUGAUGAGUGACUGAGUGGCGGACGGGUGAGUAACGCGUGGGUAACCUGCCUCACACAGGGGGAUAACAGUUAGAAAUGACUGCUAAUACCGCAUAAGACCACAGUACCGCAUGGUACAGUGAUAAAAACUCCGGUGGUGUGAGAUGGACCCGCGUCUGAUUAGCUAGUUGGUGAGGUAACGGCCCACCAAGGCGACGAUCAGUAGCCGACCUGAGAGGGUGACCGGCCACAUUGGGACUGAGACACGGCCCAAACUCCUACGGGAGGCAGCAGUGGGGAAUAUUGCACAAUGGGCGAAAGCCUGAUGCAGCGACGCCGCGUGAAGGAUGAAGUAUUUCGGUAUGUAAACUUCUAUCAGCAGGGAAGAAAAUGACGGUACCUGACUAAGAAGCCCCGGCUAACUACGUGCCAGCAGCCGCCGUAACAC
rnacentral:rRNA from 1 species